CAUUGGCCAAUCGUGUUGAUCCUCUUUGUGAUUGGUGCAUCCCGUCACUUCGGCAGCCGUGCGUGUUUUGCAGUGUUGUAGACGACGCCAGAUCACCGACACUCCUCCUACACCACCAUGUUUCAGACUAUACCUGUAUCACAAGCGUCUCGGCGGGUGGAGCGAGGGGGAAUUAAAGGAACUAUCUUAAAUAUCUACUAUGACCCAUUUAAGUGGUCCCUAGUGAAGAGUAUUCUCUUCUUUGCUGUUGGUGUCAAAACUGCAAAUGAUUUUGUUGGAUUUGAUGUUCUUAAUCCUAAUCCACAGUAAAGAUGUGUCUGCAUGAGAACUUUCCUGAGAUGAUUUAAUAGCAAGACAGAUUUUUUUUUAUAAACAUGUAUAGUAUAUUACAAUGCCUAUUUUGUAAUUGUUUGUUUGAACACUGUAUAAACUAUAUGAUUUUUAUUUCUGUUUUUUGAGAAAUAUAAAAGGAUAAACAAAGACAUUUCAGUCAUUUCUCCUUUUUCAGAUUCUAUUUUUGUAAUCUUUCAGGGGGGAAAAAUAAAAUAAUGUUAAGAAAUUUAUUAAAACCAACAGCCAGAUAAUAUGUUUGGGAACUAUUUUUUUUUAGUGUGUCUGCUCUCCAGAUAUCAGCUAAUAAUAAACUUUUAACAAUAAAUAUCAAUAAUGAUGAAAGAAAUCCAAUAUAUAUAUAUAUUUACAAACUUUUUUGUGGUCAAUGUUUUACAUAAAGUCAGCAAAACAUACUUUAAUUAAAGAAUUGUUAAGUCCCAAAGAUAAAUCCACUUUAUUUCACAUGAACCACAACACAACCUAAAAAGUAUUUUAAGCAAAACCACUUAACAAAAAAUCAUCUAUAUAGACAUCUAAUGCAAUUGGCCAAUUACCCUAAAAACAAGUUAUGUAAGCCUAUAUAUGAGUUACUUUCUUAAAGACUUCAGGAUUUAUAAUAUUACCCUAAUACACUUGAAAUGUCAUUUGAGAUAGCAAAGCUUGUAGUUUUAUUACAGUAUAUAUUUUAGUUCAUUAAAUUAUAUUUUGUAAAUAGACAAAUAAUAGAUUGGCAAGAGCUAUUCAUAAUAUUUCUAAAUAUUAUUGUCUUUGUUCUUUUUCUUACCAUUCAUCUCUUUAUUGUAAUACAAUAAAAACACAAAUAUCUGAAACUUCCUUGAAUGUUUCUUUAAUCAGAAGCAGUGAAAUACUGAUUGUUGAAUUUACCAAAUUAUUCUUAUGUGUGAAUGUUUGCAUUCUAAUUUUAAAACUACUCAAAAAUGUAAUCAGUCAAAAAAA